rnacentral:lncRNA from 1 species
GUCCGAGCCAGCUCGCCCAAAGCCAUGGCCAGCAGGGCCAGGGGAGAGCGCCCCUUGCCUGGCCUCCCUCCGACAGCCACCACAGCCCCUCACGAAGCACCCCCCACCCCCCGGAAGGCAGGGGCAUCCAAACCUGAUGACACUGCCCCUUAUUUCCAUGAGCUUACAGUCCAGUGAUGUUUCCAGAAGACCUCCUUUCCGCUUCUUCACUGCAUCGAGUCCAUCCCAUCUAACACCAGACCUCCUCCAGGGGAUGUCAGGGCCUGUCCCUGCCUGACUUUCCUGAGAGCAGGGCCAAGACGAAGGCGCGAACCCAGGCGGCUGCCGCGUGCCCUUCAGGGUAUGCAAAUCUAUGUAACAGCAGACUAUACACGGGAGCCCAGAGUGAACCAGUGGACAUCUGAGACUGCUGGGGCGAGCCCUAGAAGGGGGUGAUCACCGCGUCGGUGGAUAGUGAUUUGGAAAGCUGACUCAGGUCACGGAGGAUGCGGGCUUGGCCCUGAGCGCCUGCUCCAGGCCAAAAGACAACUGGGCCGCCCUGGUCUCCGGGAUGGAGAAGUACUGCUGGGUUACUCCGAGGGACACCAACCGGCCGCUGUCCUCGGCUCACCCCGGUUCACCCGCCGGAGCGCUGUGCGCACGCUCGGGAACACCUCAUUUGAAGGCAGGCUCGGAGCCCCCCGCAUCUUGCCAGUUUGAUGUUUUUAGGUAUCAAAGGAAGGUCUCCAGGAACCCUGCAACUCAAGACUUUAAUGAGGACCAUGCCCGAGAAAUCCCGGCUGCCAGAGACAUGAUGAUGAUUUAUGUCGCUCACUCACUCCCUAACAGCGAGAGGACUAUUUGUAAAAAUAAAAAAAGCUGCUCAUA